UACCACCGUAGUUCAGUUUAUUCACAACCAUUGGAUAUAUUAAUUUUAAAUUGACAGGUUGAGAUUAAAGUUAGUAGAAAUUUGAAUUUACUAAAAUAUCUUUGUCAUCAACAAACCCUCCUCUCUCUUCUGGGCUCUGUCUCCUUGCGCGUCUCUUUCUCUCUCUUAUGUGUUGAUCUUCUCACUCAACCUUAGUAACACUUAAUCUGGUAAUUUGCCUAAAAAACACUCAAACUGAAUGCCAAACUAAAACAAAAAAUUGAAACUUUUGCUCAGUUCAGUGCUUUUUUUGGAUCUGAUUCUUGGGACUCAUGGAAGAGGAUCUGGGUAGGGGAGGUUUGAGGUGCUUGAAGAUGUGGAGAAUCAAUAUAUUCAAAGGGGUGACCAAGCUUCAAUCAUUGGGGUGCAAUAGAUUUUAUGAAGGAGUUGGAGCAGUUGGUUCAAUCCCUUGAAUCACAGAAAAGGAUGAGAAAAAAUAAAGAGGGUUGUUCUUCUUCAUCUAUGUUUUCUAAGCCACCAUCAGAUUCAUCUCCAUCACCUGGUUUUGGAAUGAGGUCAUCAUCAUCCACAUAAGUCAGAAGGAUAAGCUGUUGAGAAAAAGAAGCAGAUUUUCUCAGAUUUGCUAGCACAGUGCAGAAAACCAGUGAAGAAGAUGAGGAUAAUAUUGUCCAAGGAAUAAAUAAAUUGAGGGUAUUAUUGUCACUACAUCUAAAAUUUUAUGUGUAGCACCGUGAGUCAGUUUUUAACUGACCCACCAAAGACGUAGUCUAUUUUCUCGAGACUCGGAUCUAAAACAAAACCACGUGCUGAUGUUUUUAUCCAAACAUCAGGACUGAAAUUAAUUGUAUUGAACUAUUGAUCAUUUGUUGUGAUUCACGGAACGCCAGAAUAAAUUAUCUUCUUUUGUUAAAAAGCCCAA